UACGUAGGUGGCAAGCGUUGUCCGGAUUUACUGGGCGUAAAGAGCGCGCAGGCGGUCGGAUAAGUCGAAUGUGAAAGCCCCCGGCUCAACUGGGGAGGGUCAUUCGAUACUGUUCGACUCGAAGGCAGGAGAGGGAAGUGGAAUUCCCGGUGUAGUGGUGAAAUGCGUAGAUAUCGGGAGGAACACCGAUUGCGAAGGCAGCUCGCUGGGACGUGACUGACGCUGAGACGCGAAAGCGUGGGGAGCAAACAGG
rnacentral:rRNA from 1 species